rnacentral:lncRNA from 1 species
AUAAUGGUCUCUUACUAACACUGAACCACUGCUGAGCUAUUCCAAAUCCGAUCUCCCAUCUAAGACUGAACAUACUUGGUUUAUCUUCUAACCUCCAUUUGGUCCAUACAUGUUUCACUUGGAAUAGGCAGCCAUGUCCUCGAGUCUCUCCUUACACUUCACCACUACCUUAGGCUCCCAACAAAACUGAACGUCCUUAUCCCUCAAGUCCUUAACCACUUGCAAGAUACAGUUCCAAAUAUAUAUAUAUAUACUCCAUGAAGUACUCUCGUUCUUC